GCCAGACUCCUACGGGAGGCAGCAGUGAGGAAUAUUGGUCAAUGGGCUUACGCCUGAACCAGCCAAGUCGCGUGAGGGAAGACUGCCCUAUGGGUUGUAAACCUCUUUUGUCAGGGAGCAACGCCGGCUACGUGUAGCCGGACUGAGAGUACCUGAAGAAAAAGCAUCGGCUAACUCCGUGCCAGCAGCCGCGGUAAUACGUAGGGGGCAAGCGUUAUCCGGAUUUACUGGGUGUAAAGGGAGCGUAGACGGCGAAGAAAGUCUGAAGUGAAAGCCCGCGGCUCAACCGCGGAAUGGCUUUGGAAACUUUUUUGCUGGAGUACCGGAGAGGUAAGCGGAAUUCCUAGUGUAGCGGUGAAAUGCGUAGAUAUUAGGAGGAACACCAGUGGCGAAGGCGGCUUACUGGACGGUAACUGACGUUGAGGCUCGAAAGCGUGGGGAGCAAACAGGAUUAGAUACCCGCGUA
rnacentral:rRNA from 1 species